rnacentral:rRNA from 1 species
UACGUAGGUGGCAAGCGUUGUCCGGAUUUACUGGGCGUAAAGAGCGCGCAGGCGGCCAAGUCAGUCGAAUGUGAAAGCCCCCGGCUCAACUGGGGAGGGUCAUUCGAUACUGCUCGGCUCGAAGACAGGAGAGGGAAGUGGAAUUCCCGGUGUAGUGGUGAAAUGCGUAGAUAUCGGGAGGAACACCAGUGGCGAAGGCGGCUUUCUGGCCCGUUCUUGACGCUGAGGCGCGAAAGCUAGGGUAGCAAACGGG